UUAGUGGCGGACGGGUGAGUAACGCGUGGAUAACCUGCCGUAUACCGGGGAUAACACUUAGAAAUAGGUGCUAAUACCGCAUAAGCGCACGGCUCCGCAUGGGGCAGUGUGAAAAACUCCGGUGGUAUACGAUGGAUCCGCGUCUGAUUAGCUAGUUGGCGGGGUAACGGCCCACCAAGGCAGCGAUCAGUAGCCGGCCUGAGAGGGUGGACGGCCACAUUGGGACUGAGACACGGCCCAAACUCCUACGGGAGGCAGCAG
rnacentral:rRNA from 1 species